UGAAGGGCCAAGUGGCCCUUCACUAAAACAAGGCGCACUGCGCCUUGUUGACAGAAAAGGCCAUUCGGCGUUUUCUUUUCUUCUUCCUAGGGAGGCAGGGCCUCUUCUUCUCAUUUUUCCUCUUUUGAUUUUUGGUACAAAAAUCAUGAUCUAUGAAGAUCUAACCGUUCAAUUUCAAAUUCAACUUCGGUAACGUGAUCUACGAAACCCGAUCUACGUUUCUACCGAUCGGUUUGAGGAUUUGUUGUGUGGAGCUUACUAAACACUCUCCAAGUGUUAGAUUUACGUUUGGUGCAAUUUUUGUAAUGCAUUGCAUGGUGGUGUCUAGGAGACCUAGUACUUAAUAUCCGCGCAGCCAAGACAUUGAUGCUUUGGUUGCAGGUCCUGCGGAUAUAGAUACUGACUCAUCCACCUAGCGUAUGGGAUAUUAUGAUUGGAGCACAUCGCGACAGUCAUAAGUCACGGACUCAUGGGUAGUCCGCAUUUUGGGUAUUUUAUCCAUGGCUCGUGUCCUACAUGGCACAUGUAUUUGUUGAGCCUAUAUUUUAGAAUGUAAUUAGUGUAAUAUGUUAUAUAAGCCUUAAAUAGUUAGACUUGUAAAUGGCUCUUGUUGUAAUUAACUGUUAUAUAUUAGAUGUAUUUCCGCUUAUGAUAUGUGUUCCGCUGUACAUUGAUUACUAUAUUCCGCUGUUAAAUGUAACUCUGAUUAUCA